UACGUAGGUGGCGAGCGUUGUCCGGAAUCAUUGGGCGUAAAGAGCGCGUAGGUGGCUUGUCAGGUCCGAUGUGAAAACCUGGGGCUCAACUCCAGGCCUGCAUCGGAAACCGGCUUGCUAGAGUCUGGGAGAGGAGAGUGGAAUUCCUGGUGUAGCGGUGAAAUGCGUAGAUAUCAGGAGGAACACCGGUAGCGAAGGCGGCUCUCUGGAACAGUACUGACGCUGAGGCGCGAAAGCUAGGGGAGCGAACAGG
rnacentral:rRNA from 1 species